GAUGAAGAACGUAGCGAAAUGCGAUACUUGGUCUGAAUUGCAGAAUCCCGCGAAUCAUCGAAUUUUUGAACGCAAGUUGCGCCCGAAGCCAUUCGGCCGAGGGCACGUCUGCCUGGGUGUCACGCAUCGUUGCCCCCCCAAACUCCGGUUCGGGCGGGGCGGAAGUUGGCCUCCCGUGCGUGCCUGCGCGCGCGGUUAGCCCAAAAGCGAGUCCUCGGCGAUGAGCGCCACGACAAUCGGUGGUUUUUUUACCCUCGUUCCUCGUCGUGCGUGCCCCGUCGCCCGAACGCGCUCUUGCAACCCUUACGCGUCGCCUCGGUGGCGCUCCCAACGCGACCCCAGGUCAGGCGGGACUACCCGCUGAGUUUAAGCAUAUCAAUAAGCGGAGGA
rnacentral:misc_RNA from 1 species